AUUGAACGCUGGCGGCAUGCCUUACGCAUGCAAGUCGAACGGUAACAGGCCGCAAGGUGCUGACGAGUGGCGAACGGGUGAGUAAUGCAUCGGAACGGGCCCAGUAGAGGGGGAGAGCCCGGCGAAAGCCGGAUUAAUACCGCAUACGACCGGAGGGUGACGGGGGGGAUCGCAGGACCUCUCGCUAUUGGAGCGGCCGAUGUCAGAUUAGCUAGGUGGUGGGGUAAAGGCCUAACAAGGCAACGAUCGGGAGUUGGUCUGAGAGGACGACCAGCCACACUGGGACUGAGACACGGCCCAGACUCCUACGGGAGGCAGCAGUGGGGAAUUUUGGGCAAUGGGCGCAAGCCUGAUCCAGCAAUGCCGCGUGCAGGAGGAAGGCCUUCGGGUUGUAAACUGCUUUUGUCAGGGAAGAAAUCUUCUGGGUUAAUACCUCGAGAGGAUGACGGUACCUGAAGAAUAAGCACCGGCUAACUACGUGCCAGCAGCCGCAGUAAGAC
rnacentral:rRNA from 1 species